CCCCGCGCGCUUCUUCUCCUCCUGCUCCCUUCUCCCCAGUGUGCCCCCCCCAUCCCCCGCUGGGCCUGCGCUGUGUCAGUGUGCCACUAAUUAAGGACUCUUAAAGCUAUGGCCUACACUCAUUAGUAAACUGUAGCAUCCUUACUGUCCAGGGAGGGGGGGAGGGGGGGGGGCAGCAAACUCAACAGCUGAUUCAGUUUGAGGACCUGCUGUCACCUGUGGCAAACACUUCUGUUGGGGUCCAUAAGGUCAUGAAGAACAACUAUUGCGUUAAAAUAUGUAUUUAUUUGACAUUGUUUUUUCUUUUUGUUAUUGUGGUCUUCUUCCAUCCAGAUUAGUAGCAUGUAUUAUCAUUUAUGUUUCUGAUAAAAACUGCUCCUUCCAAAGAAAAUACUGGACCAAUGCUGGAGCAUUUGUUGAGGGCUUGUUAGUUUUAUUUCAUUGUGCUGUUAUCUUUUGUUCAUUAUUCACUGCCUAUUAAAAUUGACUAAGGCAGCGUUAAUCAGAGUUGCAUUUUGUUGUUGCUCUAUUCAUGUGAGUACUGUUCGUCAGCUCUUUUAGGUGUCGCCAUUGUUGUCGCUAUUGUUCUUGUUGUUAAACUCCAUCACUCCUCCUCCCUCUCCCCCAACGUUCAGCUGCCCCUCCCACUUGCCGCUUUGUUUAUUCCUUUUUCAUGGAAAUGAAGAACUAAACAAAUGUGUUGUUGUUAAUGAAAGUAGGCCAAACAACUGCUGACAAACAAGAGGGGUAGUUGUAGGUCAGUACGGCACAAGCCAUGCGUUACUGUGUCAGCGGACAGGCUGGCGUCGGUCGGCCACAAUAGACAAUAACAUGAGAGCUACAUGCAUGCUCGCCCUCUGAGAGGAUGUAGACUGGGCACAUACACGUCAUCAACAGAAUUAUUAUCAACAAGUCAACAUAACUCAGAAUACGAGGGGUCACAACCACUCAUAAUCCACAAAUAUACCAACAACAAAAAACUCCCGGACUGGAUCAUUUAGAUUAUAUUAUGGCAGAUAGAAUGGAAAUAUAAAGUGCAAUUGAAAAUAGAAACACUCACGUUAAGGUGACAGUUAAAUCAGACUUUGAUACCAAUUCUUGGUUUACAGUCUGAAACAAAGCACUGCAAAACUUAAACUUAGUUUACUUACAAGCCAGAGUGUUGAAUAAAAUGUGAUGUGAACUUACUGUAAGGUCUGUCGAUUCGGUUGGCCCUUCGGUGGGUCGUAAUUUGAGACCAUACCCACAGGAAAGUAUUAUUUACCCUGACUUUUUAGUGCACCGGUACUGCCGUUGAAAUUUCUAUCACCUGGUACAUGAGCAAAACCAUGUAAACAACACCUGCACGACGGUUAGUAUGCAUGCAUCACAUGCAUGUACUUCCGUCUUGUGCACGUGCCUUAGGUCUGCAACAAACUAAUCUUGAUUGCCACACACAGAGACCCACGUUUUGAAGUCUGUUUAAUAAUACUUUCCUGUGGAUAUUUUGACUCAAAUUUCGACCGACUAAAGGACCAGCCCCACAGACAAUUGGCAGAGUAAGUUCAAAUAUAGAUUUUAUUCAACAUUCGUGACAGACAAAGGACGUUUCUGUUUCUAUGCCUACACAAUGGAAGGCGUCGCCACAAUUGAUACUAAGGUGACAGCUACACUAACUGCUUCUACUCACCCAACGUACAAAGAUGUUGUUGAUAAUUGGCAUGUUCCAGGACUCCGUAUUUGACUAGUUGUUUGAUACUUUGUUUAAUUUUUCAGUUGACCUGGAGGUUAGGAUCUUCGUCAUCACAACCAAGAGGGACUUGACCUCAGUGACUCCUAGAUGCUUCUGAAACUACCCCAAUAACCUGUCGCAGAUUGAAGGAGUUAAUAAAUCAAAGACCAACACAAGCACUUCAUUUCAUCUGUUUUAUUCAUCUGUGAAACAACAAUCUUUUCCUAUGAGUGAAUAAGGCAUUAUCCCUACUGCCCUGAAGCAGCAGCCCAUGGUUGAAGUACAGGCGGCCACCCACAGGAAGUCAUGAUGUCUGGCAUGGUGGACCCUUUGUGCAGCUAUGCUUGGUGAGAGCAAAUGGAUUUGGGGUUGAAAGUUAUAAUGGAGAAAACGGCACCUGCCUGCUGGGCUUGCUGCACUUCCUGUGCCCCUUUUUGUGUCAUGUUGGUUUUGUAUUUGUGAUUUCAAUUAGCAGGGUUUUUAAAGUAAAAUAAUGGAAACGGAGUAACUGAUAAGGGGAGGCAAAGUAUGGACAACUCAAUGAAUUGAUGGUUAACAUUUGAAAUGUUUAAUGGAGAAAGCCAUGCCUUCAAAAUAAAUGUUAAAAACUGA